GUCUUUUCCAACAAAUUAAAAAUGGCUCGCGCACAAAAUUUAAAAGCUGUAAUCAUAUUUUGAGUUAAUAGAUGGAAACUUUGUCGGGUUUUUAAUUACUGUACAAAAUUUCAGACAAUUUGGUUUAGUUUAAGCCCUUUAACUGUUCAUUUUAUUCUAAAAAAUCAGCCUUUCGCAUGCUUAAUUAAUGCCUUUACCUAAUUUGCAUAUUGCUGACAUAUGCAAAUUAGGCAAAUGCAUUAAUUAAGCAUGCAAAUGGCUGAUUUUUAGGAAAAAUGUAACUUUGCGUGAAUAGUUAAGGGGCUUAAACGAAACCAAAUUGUCUGAAAUUUUGUACAGUAAUUAAAAACCCGACAAAUUUUCCAUCUAUUAACUCAAAAUAUGAUUGCAGCUUUUAAAUUUUGUGCGCGAGCCAUUUUUAGUUUGUUGGAAAAGACACCCCCCCUGGUUCACAAAAUUUGAGUUCGAGAAAUUUUUUUCAUUAUUCUACAUUAUAGAUACCCAACGAAGCUAUAUGUAUAAAAAACGGAUACAAAUAGGUGUUUUGCGAAAUUGAGAGCAAUUUCAAAUCUGUUCAGUUUUUUUUUAUACACCCUGAAUAUAUAUCAUAGAUAUCUUACUACAUUAUAUAGCGCAUCUCUAUUAGUAAAAUUGAAGCCAAGAAUAUUCCAGCGGUUACCCCCAUUUGAAUAGAUGGCGGCCAUGUUGGUCGUUCCCACUCGCUAAUAAACGCUUAAAAUAACAAUAACUUUCAUCAUUUGAAUAGUUUAAAAAUGUAUUUGGAAUGGGUUUUACUUAAUGUUUAAGUUUCCUGUUUAAGAAAUAGGAAAUAUACGAAUCUUCUCAUUUCAUGGGAACGACUGCAAUCACGGCUUCAAUUUUUGAAUUGCAGAAUAACUAGAUGCGCUAUCUAGUGUAUAUAAGAUAUUUAUGAUAUAUAUAUACAUUGAUCCAAAUAAAUUUGUUAAAUUAAAAAAUCGACUCGACAUCAGCACGAUCUGCGCGUGCGCGACUCGACAUCAGCACGAUUUGCGCGACACGAAAUGCGUGGGUUAACUUACCAACUUUGUUGAUAAUAAAAUUUUCUCAAUCAGUCAAACUGUUUAUAUUCGUUCGAAAUGCUGUAUAAUGGAGGCUGAAAAUUCUGGGGCUUUUUGUCACUCUUGGCUAGUUUUUUUUUAUGUUUUGGG